rnacentral:rRNA from 1 species
AUUGAACGCUGGCGGCAGGCUUUACACAUGCAAGUCGAACGAGUGGCGGACGAGUGAGUAAUGUAUCGGAACGUACCGAGUAGUGGGGGAUAACUAAUCGAAAGAUUAGCUAAUACCGCGUAUUAUUGGAGCGGCCGAUGUCUGAUUAGGUAGUUGGUGGGGUAAAGGCCUACCAAGCCGACGAUCAGUAGCUGGUCUGAGAGGAUGAUCAGCCACACUGGGACUGAGACACGGCCCAGACUCCUACGGGAGGCAGCAGUGGGGAAUGUUGGACAAUGGGCGCAAGCCUGAUCCAGCCAUGCCGCGUGUCUGAAGAAGGCCUUCGGGUUGUAAAGGACUUUUUGUAGGGAAGCGGUACCUGAAGAAUAAGCACCGGCUAACUCCGUGCCAGCAGCCGCGGUAAUAC